AAUUUUCCGCAAUGGGCGAAAGCCUGACGGAGCAACGCCGCGUGAGGGAAGAAGGUCUUCGGAUCGUAAACCUUUGUCAUCGAGGAAGAUAAUGACGGUACUCGAGGAGGAAGCCCCGGCUAACUUCGUGCCAGCAGCCGCGGUAAUACGAAGGGUGCAAGCGUUAAUCGGAAUUACUGGGCGUAAAGCGCGCGUAGGUGGUUCGUUAAGUUGGAAGUGAAAGCCCCGGGCUUAACCUGGGAAUUGCUUUCAAAACUGACGAGCUAGAGUACGGUAGAGGGUAGUGGAAUUUCCUGUGUAGCGGUGAAAUGCGUAGAUAUAGGAAGGAACAUCAGUGGCGAAGGCGACUACCUGGACUGAUACUGACACUGAGGUGCGAAAGCGUGGGGAGCAAACA
rnacentral:rRNA from 1 species